ensembl:lncRNA
UUUACUGUGAACACUGAGGCUGUACCCGCUUUAAGUUACAGUUUUACUGUGAACACUGAGGCUGUACCCGCUUUAAGUUACAGUUUUACUGUGAACACUGAGGCUGUACCCGCUUUAAGUUACAGUUUUAAAAGUGGCCAAGUAGGCUAUUUUGUCUAUUUGAUCACAAUGAAGCUCUACCAGAGUGGCCUACAAUAAAAAAAACUAUGGAGAAAAACUAAUCUCAUAACAUUUUAACAUGGAAAUAGCUGUUUUAUCGUUCAGCCUACAGUAGCAGCCAAUGUGUGGUGUUCAAUGUCGGCCGACAUUCCAUGAGACUUUUGAGGAGAAAAAAACAUGCAGGGCUUGACAUGAACCUGUUUAUCCACUCGUCCUUCAGACAAGGUGACUGAAAAUGUUUGCUGCAAGAAACCACUUUACAAAAUAAAAUGUAUUAUUAUUCCCAUACCAUUAUUACAGAGAAUCAGACAAAUUAUGCUACCCUCUGCCUAUUGUCUCCUUAGAGUAUUCAAGACCGUCUCAAUACAAUACUGCCCCUUUAAGACAAAAAAAAAAGCUCUUUACCUGUAACCAGACUGGCUUUUCAAAGAUGUCUAGAAAUAUACAUGUUUUGUAAAAUGGCAUAGAUCCAUAUAAGGCAAUGGUCUAUUUGCAUAUAGGCCUACUGCAGCUCUGAUUGGUUAUGGUGCACUGGUCUGUGUAGAAUAUGGGACUUAAGUCUUGCCUGUCAAUGCAAUAGUAUUCUACUUCAAUGUGCUCUGCUUACAAGAAAAUCUCAGUGCACAGUUUAGAGGGAACAUUGUUUACAAGUAUUCAAUGUAAUACUAAUAUAUGUAUAAUAUUUUGAUUUACCUCUAUGGAGUAUGCCAUAGCCUGCCAGUUCUGGGUGUUUACUUAGCUCUGUCAAAACUGGAGAACAGAUGACUGCCGGCUUUACCAACAACAACCACAAAUUGUGCAUUUGCCGUAAGUGCGAGUUGUGAGAUGCAGGUGAAAGCAGGUUAAUUGAAUUGGGCUUUAAAUAGUGUAUUGAGUGUGAGAGCAUGUGCCAACUCUUGGCCCUCAUUCUUUAUUCUCCUCCACUUUUCCCACUUGUGCUUCAUGCAUGAUCAAAUCUCACUGAGGGGUCUCAACUUGAAUGUUUUUGCACAGGUUUGAGUGAGUGUGUGUGCGUGCGUGCACAUCAACGCCAGCGUGUCAGUACCCUUACAUGUUACUCUUGUUAUUAUUAUUUUUAAAUAAAGAGCAUGUACUCAGCCCUAUAGGUGUGGAUCAAUCUGAUGUGCCUCAGAACCAGUUUAUGUACUCAGCCCUAUAGGUGUGGAUCAAUCUGAUGUUAAUUCCACAAAUUCAAAUUCAAUUCCC